CAUUACGAAGCUUAGAGCGUUAACCUUUUAAGUUAAAGUUAGAGAUGAUCAGUCUCCGUAGUGA
rnacentral:tRNA from 1 species